UACGUAGGUGGCGAGCGUUGUCCGGAUUUACUGGGUGUAAAGGGCGCGUAGGCGGGAUAGCAAGUCAGGCGUGAAAUACCGGAGCUCAACUUCGGGGCUGCGCUUGAAACUGCCGUUCUUGAGUGCCGGAGAGGCAGGCGGAAUUCCUAGUGUAGCGGUGAAAUGCGUAGAUAUUAGGAGGAACACCAGUGGCGAAGGCGGCCUGCUGGACGGUAACUGACGCUGAGGCGCGAAAGCGUGGGGAGCAAACAGG
rnacentral:rRNA from 1 species